AGGAAUAUUGGUCAAUGGGCGAGAGCCUGAACCAGCCAAGUAGCGUGAAGGAUGACUGCCCUAUGGGUUGUAAACUUCUUUUAUAAAGGAAUAAAGUCGGGUAUGGAUACCCGUUUGCAUGUACUUUAUGAAUAAGGAUCGGCUAACUCCGUGCCAGCAGCCGCGGUAAUACGGAGGAUCCGAGCGUUAUCCGGAUUUAUUGGGUUUAAAGGGAGCGUAGAUGGAUGUUUAAGUCAGUUGUGAAAGUUUGCGGCUCAACCGUAAAAUUGCAGUUGAUACUGGAUAUCUUGAGUGCAGUUGAGGCAGGCGGAAUUCGUGGUGUAGCGGUGAAAUGCUUAGAUAUCACGAAGAACUCCGAUUGCGAAGGCAGCCUGCUAAGCUGCAACUGACAUUGAGGCUCGAAAGUGUGGGUAUCAAACAGGAUUAGAUACCCUGGUAGUCCACACGGUAAACGAUGAAUACUCGCUGUUUGCGAUAUACUGCAAGCGGCCAAGCGAAAGCGUUAAGUAUUCCACCUGGGGAGUACGCCGGCAACGGUGAAACUCAAAGGAAUUGACGGGGGCCCGCACAAGCGGAGGAACAUGUGGUUUAAUUCGAUGAUACGCGAGGAACCUUACCCGAGCUUAAAUUGCAGAUGAAUUACGGUGAAAGCCGUAAGCCGCAAGGCAUCUGUGAAGGUGCUGCAUGGUUGUCGUCAGCUCGUGCCGUGAGGUGUCGGCUUAAGUGCCAUAACGAGCGCAACCCUUGUUGUCAGUUACUAACAGGUUCCGCUGAGGACUCUGACAAGACUGCCAUCGUAAGAUGUGAGGAAGGUGGGGAUGACGUCAAAUCAGCACGGCCCUUACGUCCGGGGCUACACACGUGUUACAAUGGGGGGUACAGAGGGCCGCUACCACGCGAGUGGAUGCCAAUCCCCAAAACCUCUCUCAGUUCGGACUGGAGUCUGCAACCCGACUCCACGAAGCUGGAUUCGCUAGUAAUCGCGCAUCAGCCACGGCGCGGUGAAUACGUUCCCG
rnacentral:rRNA from 1 species